UUUUUGUUGCCUGAUUGCUGAGGCUAGGACUUCUAGUACUAUGCUGAAUAGCAGUGGUGUGAGUGGACAUCCCUGUCAUGUUUCUGAUCUUAGGGGAAAGGCUUGCAGUGUUUCUCCACUGAGAAUGAUAUUUGCUGUGGGCUUUUCAUAGAUGGCUUUUAAGAUGUUGAGGAAUGUUCCCUCUAUCCCUACACUCUGAAGAGUUUUGAUCAGGAAUGGAUGCUGUAUUUUGUCGAAUGCUUUCUCUGUAUCUAUUGAGAGGAUCAUAUGGUUCUUGUUUUUUCUCUUAUUGAUAUGAUCUAUCACGUUGAUUGCUUUAUGAGUGUUGAACCAACCUUGCAUCCCGGGGAUAAAUCCCACUUGGUCAUGGUGGUUAAUGUACUGUUGUAUCCUAUUGGCUAGUAUCUUGUUGAGAAUUUUUGCAUCUGUGUUCAUCGAGGAUAUUGGUCUAUAAUUCUCCUUUUUGGUGGGGUCUUUGUCUGGUUUUGGAAUUAAGGUGAUGCUGGCCUCAUAAAACGAGUUUGGAAGUAUUCUGUCCAUUUCUAUCUUUCAGAACAGCUUUAGUAGAAUUGGUAUUGUUUUUUCCUUAAACUUUGAUAGAAUUCCCCUGGGAAGCCAUCUGGCCCUCCCUGGGCUUUUGUGUCUUGGGAGGUUUUUGAUGACUGCUUCAAUUUCCUCCCUGCUCUUUGGCCUGUUCAGGUUUUCUAUUUCUUUUCUGUUUCAGUUUUGGUAGUUUGUGGUUUUCCAGAAAUGCAUCCAUUUCUUCUAGAUUGUCAAUUUAUUGGGAUAUAGCUGCUCAUAAUAUGUUUUUAAAAUUAUUUGUAUUUCCUUGGUAUCGGUUGCAAUCUCUCCUUUUUCAUUAGUGAUUUUAUUAAUUUGAGUCUUUUUUGUUUUUAAUAAGGCUGGCUAAUUGUUUAUCUAUCUUAUUAAUUCUUUCAAAGCACAAACUCCUGUUUUUGUUGAUCUGUUCACAGUUCUUCUGGUCUCUAUUUUAUUGAGUUCUGCUCAAAUUUUUGUUAACUCGCUUCUGCUUGGUGUUGGUUUUAUUUGCUGUUCUUUCUCCAGUUCCUUUAGGUGCAAGGAUAACUUGCGUAUUUGAGUUUUCUCCAAUUUUUUGAGGGAGACUUGUAUGGUGAUGUAUUUCCCUCUUGUGACUGCUUAUGCUGUAUCCCAAAGAUUUUGAAUGGUUGUAUCUUCAUUUUUAUUAGUUUCCAUUGAUCUUUUUAAUUCUUUUCUAAUUUCCUAUUUGACUCAUUCAUCUUUUAGCAGGAUACUGUUUAACCUUCACGUGUUUUAGUUUCUUCCAAAUUUCUUCUUGUGAUUGAGUUCUAGUUUCAAAGCAUUGUGGUCUGAAAAUAUGCAGGGGACAAUCCCAAUCUUUUGGUAUGGAUUGAGACCUGUAUUGACCCAGUAUGUGGACUAUUCUGGAGAAAGUUCCAUAUGCACUUGAGAAGAAUGUGUAUUCAGUAGCAUUCAGAUGCAAAGUUCUGUAUAUAUCUGUGAAAUGCAUCUG
rnacentral:lncRNA from 1 species